rnacentral:rRNA from 1 species
CACAAGCGGUGGAGUAUGUGGUUUAAUUCGAUGCAACGCGAAGAACCUUACCUGGUCUUGACAUCCCGGAGACCCUUAGGAAACUAGGGGGUGCUUCCAUCUGGAAGAAUCUGGAGACAGGUGCUGCAUGGCUGUCGUCAGCUCGUGUCGUGAGAUGUUGGGUUAAGUCCCGCAACGAGCGCAACCCUUGCCUUUAGUUGCCAGCAGUUCGGCUGGGUACUCUAAAGGGACUGCCGGUGUUAAACCGGAGGAAGGUGGGGAUGACGUCAAGUCCUCAUGGCCUUUAUGACCAGGGCUACACACGUACUACAAUGGCCGAUACAAAGGGCAGCGACACUGCGAGGUGAAGCCAAUCCCGUAAAAUCGGUCUCAGUCCGGAUUGGAGUCUGCAACUCGACUCCAUGAAGUUGGAAUCGCUAGUAAUCGUGGAUCAGCAUGCCACGGUGAAUACGUUCCCGGGCCUU